AGAGUGCAGCCAACUAUUUCCAUUGCCUAUAUAUAUAUAUAUAUAUAUAUAAAUAUAGGCAAUGGAAAUAGUUGGCUGCACACU